rnacentral:lncRNA from 1 species
GUGCAGACCACGAGACACCACUGAGAAUGUCAGUGUGACUCCACAAUGUCAGCUGGUCGUGGACCAACUCUACAGUGUGACCUGCCCCAGCGCCCAACAGAUACAGCCCGAGGAGGGUCUGUUUGACAUGGACUAUGAGCCCAACUAUCACCCACUGUUUGAACUGCGGUUCAAGAAGAAGACGAUUAAAGCUGCUCUGACGAUCCAAGAGGCUGGAGACUCAGGGAGAGAAGUCUGGAGACAGGAGGUGAAUCUGACAGAUCCGACACGCAGAGUUCGCAGGAUUCAUCCAAGGAUGUCAC